rnacentral:rRNA from 1 species
GGGGYCCGAGUUGUAAUUUGUAGAGGAUGCUUCGGGCAAGGCCGCGGUCUAAUUCGCUUGGAACAGCGAGUCAGAGAGGGUGAGAAUCCCGUCCAGGGCCGUGCGCCGCGUCCGUGUGAAGCUCCUUCGACGAGUCGAGUUGUUUGGGAAUGCAGCUCUAAAUGGGUGGUAAAUUUCAUCUAAAGCUAAAUAUUGGCCAGAAACCGAUAGCGCACAAGUAGAGUGAUCGAAAGAUGAAAAGCACUUUGAAAAGAGAGUUAAACAGUAUGUGAAAUUGUUGAAAGGGAAGCGCUUGCAACCAGACUUGUGUGUGGCGGUUCCCCCGGUCUUCUGACCGGGUUACUCCGUCAUGUCCAGGCCAGCAUCGGUCUGGGUGGGCGGUGAAAGGCCCCGGGAAUGUAUCUACCUCCGGGUCGACUUAUAGCCCGGGGUGCAAUGCGCCCCACCCGGACCGAGGAACGCGCUCCGGCUCGGAUGCUGGCGUAAUGGUUGUAAGCGGCCCGUCUUGAAACACGGACCAAGGAGUCUAACAUCUAUGCGAGUGUUUGGGUGUCAAGCCCCUACGCGUAAUGAAAGUGAACGGAGGUAAGAACCCCGCGAGGGGCGCACUAUCGACCGAUCCUGAUGUCUUCGGAUGGAUUUGAGUAAGAGCAUAGCUGUUGGGACCCGAAAGGUACGUCGCUCUUUUUCUUCCCCCCCCCCUUUUCCGUCAUCCUCAUCCGAUUUGAGGGUGUCAUAUGCUAACCUGUGUUUGUUAUAGAUGGUGAACUAUGCCUGAAUAGGGUGAAGCCAGAGGAAACUCUGGUGGAGGCUCGCAGCGGUUCUGACGUGCAAAUCGAUCGUCAAAUUUGGGUAUAGGGGCGAAAGUAGGCAUCCGUCCUCUCCCCGUCUUUGCGUCGUACUAAUUUCUUCUCUAGGACCAAUCGAACCAUCCGUAUGCUUGGCAAGAUACACCGCUUAUGGAUGCAUUUCUUAUCGGUGUAUCUUUAAGCGAUGCCAGGUGGUUAAUUCCCUAUCUUUCAGCUAGGUCAGUCUGGUACUUGGUAUUGGGCAACGUCGUCAGUCUUCGGGGAUGUCCUCACGGCUAUCCGAAGCCGUCCUUAUCCUGGGACGGUUCACAGACUAGACAGUGACGGCCGGAUCCGCUUGACCGGGGACGGUGAUUAUAUAGUCGAGUAAAGUUAUUGGAUCUCGCGAGUGUCUCCAGCAGAGCACUCGGUAGACUGUCCGUUUUCAUGUGCGCCUUUUGGGGGUUGCAGACCCCGUUGGGUUCGUCUGGAAAGAGUCCUAUAACUUUCAACGCUGGUAGCUGGUUCCUGUCGAAGUUUCCCUCAGGAUAGCAGUAACGUUUUCAGUUUUAUGAGGUAAAGCGAAUGAUUAGAGGCCUUGGGGGUGAAACACCCUUAACCUAUUCUCAAACUUUAAAUAUGUAAGAAGUCCCUGUUGCUUAAUUGAACGGGGACAUUUGAAUGUAUCGUUACUAGUGGGCCAUUUUUGGUAAGCAGAACUGGCGAUGCGGGAUGAACCGAACGUGAGGUUAAGGUGCCGGAAUGUACGCUCAUCAGACACCACAAAAGGUGUCAAUGCAUCCAGACAGCCGGACGGUGGCCAUGGAAGUCGGAAUCCGCUUAGGAGUGUGUAACAACUCACCGGCCGAAUGCAUUGGCCCUGAAAAUGGAUGGCGCUUAAGCGUGCUACCUAUACCUCGCCGUCGGGGUUGAAAUGAUGC